rnacentral:rRNA from 1 species
UACAGAGGGGGCAAGCGUUGUUCGGAAUUACUGGGCGUAAAGGGCGCGUAGGCGGCCUUCUAAGUCGAACGUGAAAUCCCCGGGCUCAACCCGGGAACUGCGUCCGAUACUGGAAGGCUUGAAUCCGGAAGAGGGAUGCGGAAUUCCAGGUGUAGCGGUGAAAUGCGUAGAUAUCUGGAGGAACACCGGUGGCGAAGGCGGCCCAACUGGUCCGGUACUGACGCUCAUGCACGAAAGCGUGGGGAGCAAACGAA